rnacentral:tRNA from 1 species
CCCUUCGUAGUGUAGAGGUCAGCACACUCGGAUUGUAUUCGAGGCGUCCGUGGUUCGAAUCCUGACGAAGGCA